rnacentral:lncRNA from 1 species
UUGUAUUUUCUCACGAGGUGUUGGCAGAGUUGGUUUCUUCUGAGGCCUCUCUCCUUGGCUUGCAGAUGGCCCCGCUUUUGUGUCCUCACGCCGUCUUCCCUCUUCCCUCUGUAUGCGUCUGUGUCCUAAUUGUCUAUUCUUAUACAUCAUAUUGGAUUAGGGCCUACCCUCAUGACCUUGUUUUCACUUCAUUACUUCUGUAAAGACCCUGUCUCCAAGUAUGGUCAUGUUCUGAGGUAAUGGGGGUUAGGACUUCAACACAGAAAUUUUUGGGGGGACACAAUUUAGCUUUAACAGCUCUUAAUGUACUCCUCUAGCAUGGCAUCCCAUGCCAUCCAUCCACCUUAAUGAAUUAUUCAUUUGUUCUCUAGGCACAUAUAACAUGCUGCUAAUAUUUAGGUAAUUAUGGCUACCUAUUACCUGAUCCUGCAGUUUAUUAAUUUAGAUAUUCAUGUUCUUCUCUUAACUGUGAGCUUCUCAAAGGCAAGACUGGUGGGUCUGGAGCACAGCCCUAGCUCAUGCUAUUCAUCAGUUCAUUCUGAAGACAUUUCCUGUGCCCUGAAUUAAGGUCUGGGCAUGUAGAGAGGAGUAUGAUACAGCCUUGGCCCUCAAGAGGAGACAGACCAAAAAUGAGAGAUUACCAAGUGGGUUAAGGGUUAUGGUGCCUGUCAUCCAAGGAACUUCUGAAGCUGAAGAUGUCCUGAAUAGCACCAGCAGCACUGCAGAGUCGAAGGAUUCUUACAGACACAUUCCAACAGAGGAGAGCCAGGCCUGGAAAGAGAAUGCAGAAUCUGAGCCAAAGGGUCCUCUGGAGAAUAGGCCUAGUACAAUGUUUUCAAAUUGUGAUCAGAAGAUCUCCAGCAUCACUUGCAGCUCUUGCUAAAAAUAUAGAUACUGGGUCCACAUUCCAACCUUAUUGACUCAAAAUCUUCCGGAUUCCAGUCCUGAAAUUCUGAAUCUUCACAGGGGAUUCUCAGGCAUCCAAAGUUUGAGAAGCACCAAUGUGUUCCAAAUGGAAGAGGUUUCAUAAAUAUUUCCCCCACAUUUCUAUACUUCACUGUUAGCACUAGUGAGACAAUCAUCUGGAAUCCCAGACUUAGAAGAAAAUUCAGUGGUCUUUGAGUCAGGUUACUCUAUGCUUGUGCCUGCAGUCACUAAUUCGUUGUAAGGACCCUGGAGCCAGACUGCCUGGAUUCUGAUUUACUCACUACUUCCUAGCUGUGUGACCUUGGGAAAGUCACUUUAUCUCCUUGUACCACCAAAGAUGAGGAUAAUGAUAAUGCCUACCUCAUAGGGUUGUUGUGAGGAUUAGGUGAAUUAAUACAUGUGUUUUAGUCCAUUCGGGCUGCUAUAAAAAAUAUCAUGUAGUGGGUGGCUUAUAAACGAUGAACCUUUAUUUCUUACAGUUCUGGAAGCUGGACGGUCCAAGAUCAUGCUGCCAGCAGAUUUGUGGUCUGGUGAGGGUCUACUUUCUGGUUCAUAGACUGCACCUCCUAGCUGUGUCUUAUGGUAGAAGGGGCAAAAGAGCUCCCUUGAGCUGCUUCUCUAAGGGCACUAAUCCCAUUUGUGAGGGCUCCAGCCCCAUGAUGUAAUCACCUCUCAGAGGCCCCAGCUCCUUAUACCAUCACUUUGAAGGUUAGGAUUUCAAUGUAUGAAUUAUGGGGGGGGAACACAAACACCCAGACCAUAGCAUGUGGAACACCGUCUGACAUGUACGUGCUAAUAGUGUUAGAAGUAGUCUUUGCUCUUAUAUCUUAAUUAUGAUAACUGUUUUCAUCUAUGAUAAUUGCUUUUGUGGAUGUCUUUGUUAGUGUUAGAAGUGGUCUUAGCUCUUAUAUCUUAAUUAUGAUAACUAUUUUCAUCUAUUAUAAUUGCUUUUGUGGAUGUCUUUGUUCCAGCUAGGCUGUGAGUUUCUGGAGGGCUCCAUGCCAAUCCUAGAGGCUUCUAUAACAAAUACUUACUAAACACCUACUAUAUGCCAGGCACAAUACUAGGAGAGACGGCAAUUCAUUAAAUAGGGGAAAAGCCUAGCUCUCAUAGAGGUGAGCUUAUAUUUUACAGGGUUUGAGGGGAUUUAGAAGAGAGAUUGCCCAGGCUGGCAUGGGUAGGGAAGGUAGGUAGGGCCAGAUCAUAGGAAGCCUCAGAUGUGUGUUAAGGAGUACAGACUCUCUAUAGUUAAUGAUAACAUAAAUAGGCCUUUUUUUUUUCUUUCUAGAGUGUCAGUUCCUAUUUAAAACAAAAUCUGAAAUCUUCCUGAAACUAUAUCCUCACCCUUAAAAGAAUUCAAAUUGAUUGGAAAUGUGUCUGCACAUACAUAAUUCAGAGUUAUAUGUGUGCUUACCCAAAAUUUUCUUUACAAAUUAUUGCAAGAAAUGUAAUCAUUAAAAAUUCGCAGCAAUUUUUGUGUAAUACCACUUAAAUAGCAUUUGGUCCAUUGCACCCUAAAUCUUACAUUUUGGAGUUUCAAUAUUAAUUUCAAUCUUAAUUUUCAUAAACCCAACACCAGCCAUCUAAUAUAUUUCCUGUUCAAAUACUUAUUCAUUCCUUCUGGCUUACUAAGGUUCCCUUUUGUGCUUUUAUGUUAAUUUGUUUCUCCCCUUUAGAGUGCCCAGCUUUUGCUCAAGCAGGCCCUGAGGCUGUAAAUUUCUCUCCCUACCCACGGAAUUCCUUCCUUUAAUACCCAUCUGAAGACCUUACUUCUAAUAAGAAAUUUUCCAUUAUUAAAUAAGUGACGUGCACAAAGUUUUUUUCAUCUCAUUUCCACAAUCCUGUUGUCACAUUACAAAUUUCCAUCAUCUGUAGCAUCUGGAAAUACCGAGUGGGAUAGAUAACAUGGCCUGGCUGCUGUUUGUUUUUUUUUUCAUCAGUGUGCUAGAUCUUCCUGGACACGCUGCACAAAUCUCACCUCAGUCUUAGUGCCACCGUGGACGCUGGAAGGAGCCAUUUUAAAAGGCAACCUUAAACAGUUCAGUCUAAUUUAAUAUUAGUGGCCUCCACACCUCUGACUCUUGUAUUAUUAGAAUUGCCUGUUUGGCUUUUAUUUUCCAGUGUGAACUGAUGAAACAGACACAAAGUGAAGUACCCGUUGGUUUCGCGGUCUCCACCUCGAGAGGAAAUCCAAAAGGAGUUUCUGGCAUGUGUGGUGUUGCUUAGCAAUUUACCCAAACAAACAUGUUUCCUCCUCAUUUUUUUCCCCAGUACUUAUUUACUCAAGAACAUUGUAAAAUCAAUUUUUACCACUUGACAUCUGAAAUCAUUAGAAGAAAAUCUGGUGUUUUGGGCUUUAUGAGAAGAACUGCUAACCACACAUGAAUGCAGUAUGCUGCUACCACAAAUUACGCAGUUGAGUUUCCCACAUUUGGAGAAAUCACAGGGAUCAGCAAGUCUUCAGUGGAAUAGAGAAGCCUUGCCCUAGGGAAAACUACCCUUGUGGUCAUGGUAUCUACCCUGCCUG